UUUUUUUUGCGCCUAGAGAGGGGAGGUGGUUCCAAGGGUAGGGAAGCUAUCGACGCAUCCAUCGCCUCCCCCAAUCCAACACCUUGCUUAACCGCGCAUGUUCCCCGACCCACUCUCGAGGCUCACCGGCGUCGCCACCGGCUGCAGACUGCUCCCAGCUUGCCCUCCCUCUCUCUGAUCGCUUCUACCAUCUUCGCGUAAGUCCUGCAAGCUCUCUCCCUCUCUCUCUCUGUGGAACAUCAGCUCGCUUCGGGGACGAGGGGAGGAGAACCUGUGCAGGCGAACGAGGUUCAAUCUUCUAGCCCGGUUCUCAUAUGUGUUUGAGUCGAGGUGGAAGGACAAUGAUGUUAUAUGACGCUUUAUUAACCUAGAACACCGACCCGUGUCCGUGUUACGGUGGCGUCUCUGUCUCCCAUUCGCCUGCUCCUUCCGUCAGGUUCCAAGGUUUCUCUGUCCUUGAUGGUCCGAUAAUUAUUAUUUUGCAGAUCCUGACUAGGAGAUCAUCUAAAGGGGCAAGUGGCAGAGUUCCAAUCUUAUGAGAUGGAGCGGAUGCAUAUCAAAGAGAAGAUUGUCCAAUCCAGAUUUGCUUCCUUCGCUAACUGCAGAUAUGUAAAUCUUACCAAUUAGUUGAAAUUCACAUGGAUGUGCAGAUUGAUUUUAUCAGGAUGUUCGAAUGCAUUAUUUCUUCAACUUUGUGGUUUAAAAUUAUUUUUCACAUACAUGAUGUAGGCAACUUUGAAUCUUGGAGCCUUAGCAAGGGCACAUGCAAGUUACUGUUUCCAAUGGUUACGAGCAUCUCCUAUUUGCAAGACGAUGACAAGCAUGUUUCUGAAGAUGUGAAUAUCAGGGAUCUAGAUAUGACAAGCUGCGAGGCAAAUGGUCUUCAGCUUUACCGACCUCCACAAAGGCUGAACCAUGUUUAUCUGCUAGAGAUGGGAAAUUGGACAUUCUGAAUUCUUUUUUAUGCCCGGGGCAUUCAUGUAAGAAAUAUGUUUUGAAGUAUGUAGCCUAUGUUUUUCUUUGAUAUUCGUAAAUAACACCGAAGUUUUUUACUUGCACAAAGUGUUUAUCCAUGAUAAGUGCUAACAAUGAUGGUAAGCUGCACUUGAAAACAGAAGCUUCACGGGUGGCACAAAGGGCAGCUGAAGCUUUACUUCAAUCAUGAUUUUUUUCCUUCAUGUUUUGGUCUGAAAUUUUCAUUCUGCAUUUCCCUUUGUACGUAUAUACUGCCAUGGAAAUUUUGAAGUAAAUACGAUGUAGAAGCAUAACUUAGAUUGAACUAUUGGGUAGUCUAACUGAAUUGGUAGAGUUGUAGGACAAAGCAUACUAGGUGUAUUUCUAUGGUAUAAGCAGCUGAAGGUGAGCAUACAUGCUUCGACAGUUUUUUUGUACAGAAAAAGCUAUUGGUGGGGAGGGGGGGGCUUAUUUGGCUUAUACUCAAGUGCUUCUGUUGGGAGGAGGAAAACUUGUUUGGGUUAUGCUCAAAUGCUUCUGAAAACUGAAAUUCUUCAUACUUUUAGAAUUUCAGUAAUGCAUAUAUAAGAGCACACACUUGAUUAAUUUUGUGUGGAGAGGACGCUUUACAUUGUUUCUGAUAGUGACUUUACUACUUUAAGGUGAAGUAAAUGUUUGAUUAAAGUGAUACAACUUAAGAGCUUUGACUAUUCUCAAUUUGUCAUUAAAUCUAUACUUUGAUAAUGUAAUAUUUUUUCAUUUACUUCCAAUACUUCAUAAUGAUGCACAAAGAAUAUGGGUGACGACAAAGCUUUAUACUGUUUAUGCACAAACAAGUAGGGCGUCCGGUUAAGUGCUCCCUUCUGAUUCAUAUUUAUUCGCUAGCAGUUGGUGCAGCAGGGAUAUUUAGGAUCCAUUCUAUUUCUGAUCAUUUUCAGUUAGGAGGCUAUGAGAUUAUUGUAGGCCCCACUGUGUCAUUAAAUAGUAGGAUUUUGCUGUACUCCUGAAAAUCCAUGGGCAAAUAGUACUAUGUUCAGUUGAGAGAAGUAGUUCACGACACAUGGAAAUAUUUAUGGACGCUGAAUUAUAGUGUCAUUGUCGCCAUCGUCAAUGCUAAGUCUAUUUACACUUUGGAUUAUGGGCUGCUAAUAUCUUUUGGUUUUCUUAUCUUUUUGUUCUGUGACUACUUUUCUGUAAUGGCAUGAACUCUUACUUUUGUUUCUAAAGAUUAACCUGUCGUCAUUGCUAACUUAGUGUUCCUAUUUCAGCCAUGUAUUGUUGGGGAUUCAGUGAUUUCAGGCUACCAGUAAUUUCUUCUAUUUUUCAGGUUAAGCACAAUGAAUGGUUCCUACACAUAACUGUUUUAGUUCUCCUUAUUGAGCAUAACAAUUAGUCUCCAACUGCUCUCCAACAAUCUUUUUAGCUCCUUGGUUAAGUACAGAUAGGGGUGUAGGGCAUCAUUCCGCAUAAGCCUCCAAAAGCACGGUGUUAAUUCAAACUGAACUACAUCACUAAAAAACUGCUAUAACUAACCUGACCUGUUUUGCCUAUGGAGCAGGACGGACCAGGUGCCGCUCUGCAUCCCUAAGGACAAAGAAUUGGUAGGUCCUUAUUUCUAUUGCUAAUGACGAGAUGAUGCUACCAUUAAGAAAGGUUGCUGCUUCAUUUUCCUUUUAACUUUCUGAAUGUUUUUGCAACCAACCAUUCUUUUACAUGUAUUUAAGAUGCGUUGCUAGAUGCGAGUGGUAUGUGCAAAUAUACAAGCUACUAAUUUGUUCUACUAUGGGCAUGGCGUUAUAAUUAGCCAUUUUCGUAGUUACUAUAGUUUGUUUCUCUUACAUUAAGCGAAAGGUAUAUUUCAUUGCCCCUGUCUCUGUCCCCGCCUUAAUCACUAUAUAGAAUGUAGCCAUGUUUUAGACAGUUAUCCGAGUUUAUAAUUUACUCGGUUACUGGAGGGAUACUUGGAUGUGUGGACUUGAAAAGGGACAUUCAGAGACAAAAAUGCAAAUGUUUGAGUAGGCAAUAACUAUGAUGUAUUCAAGUAUCCUCCGGAUGAACAAAAUUGAGUCAUAUGAUGUCGGUUUCUUGACAUCAAUACCACGCCAGACUCCUGUGAGAUCGAUGCUGUUGUACAUGUGCAACACAUCAUACAGUGUGGUGCCAACAAGAUUAGCCCAAACUUUAAUUGUUUUGAUUUAAUUUCCGGGACUAGCUAAGAGCAGGCCAGUGGAAAGAUGAUGGAUAAUUACCAUUUUGGGACUAGCUAAUGCUAACGUAUUGCCCAUGUAUGUUCCCAUAUCCCAUGUGUGUUCCCAUAUAUACUUACCAAAUGUUAAGUAGCAAACGGAAUAGCACAUGCGUUGUAUGAUUUUUUUUUGUCCUGGCAUUGUAUUGAGCUUCGCACAUCCAGCUGUCUCUCACACAAACAACUACUCCCUCCGUUCGGAAAUACUUACCAUUUUAGAAAGAUGAUUGUAGGCCAGUGGAAAGAUGAUGGAUAAUUACCAUUUUAGAAAUGAUUGUAUCUAAAACUAAAACAAGUCUAGAUAAAACCAUUUUUAGGACAAGUAUUUCCGAACGGAGGAAGUACCUCAUAGCUUAAAUGAAAUACACAACGGACCAACUGACAAUAAUAACCCGUGUAAGAAAACGAGAGGCUUAACACACCAUAGAUUAAAUCCUACAACAGUCACAAAAUGCUAUCUUCUUUUAACAGAGACCAGAAUUAACCCCUAGCAUAG